GACAAGCUUCACAGUGUGGUGCUCAACCACCUGAGCCACCAGGGAGGCCCGAAAUAUUCGUGACUACAUGGCCCUUAGGACUCAAUCAAUUAACAUCAUUGCCUGGUAGAAUCACUCUGAAGACAUAAUUAAAGGCAGCAGCUUGAAGCUAUGGAGUGAGGACCUUUGGGCAAGUCUCCCUGGCUCCAGGUCCCAGCUCCAUAUGUUGCUACGUGGCCUU